UAUGCUAGCAACAGGUUGCAGUAUAUAUGUAGAACAAUAACCCUUCCAGAAUGUCAUCAAAUAACUACCAAUUCUGUCUUCAUGAUUUUUGCCAUUCAAUAGUUGCAUAUGGGGAAUUCAAAAAGCACGGUUGGCGAACAUCAACCUAAAGAUGACGUAACUACAGGUCUUACAAGCGGGAGAAGUGAUGCAGAACACAAUGCGAGCAUCAUACCCGUAGCUGAAAUUGUUGAUAACGUCUACUCGACGGAAUCAAGUAUAAUACUGUCCGGAGAUUGGUUAUAAAUGUUGCUUCACGUCCAUUUCUGAAAGUGGCAGAAUGCAUGAUGUGUUGCAGUCCUUACGGGCGGGAUAAAUGUUGGAGACCACAAUGCAAACUUCAUACCCUUACAUGCAGGUAUAAGACUGUGUCAAGAUUGCUGCUAAUGUUUCGUGCAUACCGUAUAUUUUGUUGAUUGCUAAGAUGUAGGGCGGGAACCUUCAAACGACGGGAUUCCGUCGUAUUCUGAGAAUAAUAAGGAUGGUACGACUAAGCUACGAGAUGAUACUCAAGAUGACAAAACUUCCGAGCAGCAUGCAACAGUAGCUGUAUUUAAUGAAGAAAAAAAAACGUUGACGAAACAAGGGAGCAGUUCAACGCACAGAGGCGUGAAUCUUAUCGGAAGAAAAAAGAGGAGGAUAUGGUCAGGUUACAAGAGUAUAAUCAGCCAUCCCUUUCAAAGACUGACCAUAGGGAUCUUAUCAACGCGUGGAGGCGGGCAUCUUAUCGCACUAAGAAGUCAGAUGGUUUUAUAAACCAUCUAGACGAUGGGCCGAUUGUUCACCGUCGUACUCUAUGUGAUAUCACAAAUGUUCAACAACCUUCAUAUGUGAUCCCUGGUACUUAUUUGGGAGAUUUACAAUGUCGUUAAUUAUAUGUGCGUAUUUGACAAUCAUACUAUUUGUGAUUAUGUUUAACUUCUCUUUGCUUUCUGAACGCCCGUGGUGGAUAACUAUAGGAACUAAUGUUGGGGCGGAUCAUAUGUUGGGGCAGCUAAUCAAACCCACGCGAGAUGAUAAGCACAGGAAAGUUGAUCUUCGUCCCCUUUGUAAUUCAAAUGACCCAGCUAGCUCGGUUGAUACAUCAAUCUCGCAUAAUGAAUCAACAUAUCCUCCUAAAGCUACGGGAGCGUCUGAUGUAAUUGCAGAUGAAAAUAUAAAAGGUAAAAUGAUUGUGCUUUUUCCAUACUCGUUUGCUGUCAUGUUGUUUUUACCUUUCGCUUUUGAGAUAAACCCAUGGAAGACAUCAGUAGAUAACUUGAAUGAUAGCACAGAAAAUAGGCAAGUAACAGAAGAAGAACGCAAACGAGACCGUAAAAAAGAUUUGAGGAGAGCUGCAUAUCGGCAGAGAAAAGAUCGGAAUCUCCAAGAUGAACAUGCACAGGCCCUUAUUUUAUCUGGUAACCUCUAAAGGUUUUCACCUUUUUAUUCAGUACCCGACUUCGUGUCUUAAUGAUUAAGUUUUCCGCAUGUUUUCAUCAAUUUGUUUAACCAGCCAACCCAACUAGCUCCAACUAUAAAUCAUUCUCGGUUGAUGCGACGACAUUUCAUGCUACAACUACUGUCACAUCUGGUCUCAUUAAUGACAUGGAGGUACAAGAUGUGGUCUUGAAUAACACCCAAGAAACAAAG